rnacentral:rRNA from 1 species
CCUACGGGAGGCAGCAGUGAGGAAUAUUGGUCAAUGGGCGCUAGCCUGAACCAGCCAAGUAGCGUGAAGGAUGACUGCCCUAUGGGUUGUAAACUGCUUUUAUAUGGGAAUAAAGUGCAGUAUGUAUACUGCUUUGCAUGUACCUUAUGAAUAAGGAUCGGCUAACCUGGUGCCAGCAGCGGCGGUAAUACGGAGGAUUCGAGGGUUAUACGGAUUUUUUGGGUUUAAAGGGAGCGUAGGCGGGUUGUUAAGUCAGAUGUGAAAGUCUGCGGCUCAACCGUAAAAUUGCAGUUGAUACUGGCAUCCUUGAGUACAGUAGAGGAAGGCGGAAUUCGUGGUGUAGCGGUGAAAUGCUUAGAUAUCAUGAAGAACUCCGAUUGCGAAGGCAG